rnacentral:rRNA from 1 species
CCUACGGGUGGCUGCAGUGAGGAAUAUUGGUCAAUGGGCGCGAGCCUGAACCAGCCAAGUCGCGUGAAGGAUGACGGCCCUACGGGUUGUAAACUUCUUUUGUCAGGGAGUAAAGUGAGGCUUGUGUGCCUUUGUGAAUGUACCUGAUGAAAAAGGAUCGGCUAACUCCGUGCCAGCAGCCGCGGUAAUACGGAGGAUGCGAGCGUUAUCCGGAUUUAUUGGGUUUAAGGGGUGCGCAGUGGGUGUGUAAAGUCAGUGGUAAAAUAUCGGGGCUCAACCCCGAAGUGCAGUUGAAACUGUGAGUCUUGAGUGCACUAGGGGUAGGCGGAAUGCGUGGUGUAGCGGUGAAAUGCAUAGAUAUCACGAAGAACUCCGAUUGCGAAGGCAGCCUACUAGCGCGCCACUGACACUGAUGCUCGAAAGCGUGGGUAUCAAACAGGAUUAGAUACCCUGGUAGUC